rnacentral:rRNA from 1 species
UACGAAGGUGGCAAGCGUUACCCGGAUUAAUUGGGCGUAAAGCGUCCGCAGGCGGUUUGAUAAGUCUCUCGUCAAAUCCUGAAGCUUAACUUCAGGGCUGCGAGGGAAAGUGUCAUUCUUGAGACUGGAAGAGGCAAGCGGAAUUAUCGGUGUAGCGGUAAAAUGCGUUAAUAUCGAUAAGAACACCAAAGGCGAAGGCAGCUUGCUGGUACAGUUCUGACGUUAAGGGACGAAAGCGUGGGGAGCGAAUGGG